CCUACGGGUGGCAGCAGUGGGGAAUAUUGGACAAUGGGGGGAACCCUGAUCCAGCCAUGCCGCGUGUGUGAAGAAGGCCCUCGGGUUGUAAAGCACUUUCAGUGAGGAAGAACGCCUGGUGGUUAAUACCCAUCAGGAAAGACAUCACUCACAGAAGAAGCACCGGCUAACUCCGUGCCAGCAGCCGCGGUAAUACGGAGGGCGCGAGCGUUAAUCGGAAUUACUGGGCGUAAAGCGCGCGUAGGUGGCUUGAUAAGCCGGUUGUGAAAGCCCCGGGCUCAACCUGGGAACGGCAUCCGGAACUGUCAAGCUAGAGUGCAGGAGAGGAAGGUAGAAUUCCCGGUGUAGCGGUGAAAUGCGUAGAGAUCGGGAGGAAUACCAGUGGCGAAGGCGGCCUUCUGGACUGACACUGACACUGAGGUGCGAAAGCGUGGGUAGCAAACAGGAUUAGAUACCCUGGUAGUC
rnacentral:rRNA from 1 species